GACUGAGAUAUCGUAAGGACUCCAAAUCACACCUUGUUAGUUGCAGAACUGAAUUCAGAUGGUCUGUUGGGCUUCUUGGCCAGCGCUGACAGGAGAAAUUGUCGGAUGAUGGAAUGAACACAUUGGACUUCUCCCUGGCCCUCCCUCCUGCCUUCCCAGGGAUGAAAGAGCCUGUUGACAAAUUGGGUGAUGGAACUGGUUCACAGGCCAUGAAGGAGGAACACUGUCCAUGGGAGAGGCAGGUGGCAUCAGAAAUUUGGGCAAGGGGUUAAUUUCUUCAUCUGGAGGCUCAGUCUGCUCAGUUCUGGAGUUUCUGCAGGAUUCACAGCCGACUCCCUGAAUGUGCAGCUGCCUGCGUGGUUCUCAUGGGCAGCGCCCUUGAGUGACACACGGAAGGGUCCUCGCACUGAGACAUCAAGAGGCCAGGGUUCCAGGCUGGAGGAUGCUGACAGUGAAAUGUGAAAGGUGAAAUGUGAACCUUACCUAUUCUCUCCCGGUCCCAUCCAACUGUUUCUGCAGAGUAAAUCCAGUGCGGCAUGAAGAUAAGAAACCCAUACUGAACCCCUCAAAUGCUUGUCACCAAUCAGCAAACACCUUCUCCCCCUGGAUUGGGAGCAUGGAUACUCCUGUGACUAAUUUGCCACAUCUUUUUGUAAUAACAAGGGAUUUUUUUUUACAGGUGUUUAUCCCAUCUACAGCUUUUUAAAGCAGCAUGUUCAUUUAAAUAAUUACCUAGUCAUUUAGUUAAUGCAUUCUUUUUUAAACUUGACUAACCACAGCGUAUGUGGUUUUGAUGGGAAAAAAAGCCCCCUUUAUGUAAUAGCACUGUUUUUUUUCACCCCUGCAAAAUAAAUGCAACACAAUUAUUUUACUGCAGAGAAAUUAGCUCAUUUGCAAAUGCCACCUCAGA